rnacentral:rRNA from 1 species
UACGAAGGGGGCUAGCGUUGCUCGGAAUCACUGGGCGUAAAGGGCGCGUAGGCGGAUCUUUAAGUCAGGGGUGAAAGCCUGAGGCUCAACCUCAGAAUUGCCUUUGAUACUGAAGAUCUUGAGACCGGAAGAGGUUAGUGGAACUGCGAGUGUAGAGGUGAAAUUCGUAGAUAUUCGCAAGAACACCAGUGGCGAAGGCGGCUAACUGGUCCGGUUCUGACGCUGAGGCGCGAAAAGCGUGGGGGAGCAAAACAGG